UACGAAGGGGGGCUAGCGUUGCUCGGAAUUACUGGGCGUAAAGCGCACGUAGGCGGAUCUUUAAGUCGGGGGUGAAAUCCUGGAGCUCAACUCCAGAACUGCCUUCGAUACUGAGGAUCUCGAGUCCGGGAGAGGUGAGUGGAACUGCGAGUGUAGAGGUGAAAUUCGUAGAUAUUCGCAAGAACACCAGUGGCGAAGGCGGCUCACUGGCCCGGUACUGACGCUGAGGUGCGAAAGCGUGGGGAGCAAACAGG
rnacentral:rRNA from 1 species